GGGCACCCAUUGUCCUUAUUUGCAUUUGGCAGACACUCUUUUCCAACAAGACUCUUCACAUUUAUGAGCUACCACUGAGCGCUUCAGGAAAGUUAAGGGUUCUGGGAUUUGAACUCAUCACCUCUUAAUCAUAAGGCCACGCACAGGUCUUAACCACUAAGCUCCCACCUUCCUUAUUUGUUUGGAAGCUUAUUUGUUGCCUUCUGCCACCGGUCAUCAUAAUCAUGUAAUGCCUUGAAAAUAAUCGACUAGAGGUAUUCAUCAAGAUGUCUGUUAGAUUUACGAAACAUCUGACACAGCUGGGCCUUGGAGGCAGAGGAGAUAUUAUUGACAGGAAGCUCAGACAGUCCAACAGAAACCUGAUUCCUGAAUAUGUUUUGCGCCAUUCUGUCUUCAUGGUGAGGACAACUGUUUGCUGUUCCAGUUCUGCUUCCCGGCCCAGUAUGCCCAUUAAUCAACCCAGUGUUAAGUCAUGAAGUCUCAACUACUUGAUCCAACACCUUAAACCCAGCGACUGAGUUAUAAUAACUCAAACUUACAGACAGGUAUCUACCAUUAAAUCUCUUAUUGUGAACAUUUAACCAGUUUGAAUAUGAAACUAGGUUUUUUAAAAAUAUAUUUAUAUUAUAUGUGAAAUAAAUACAUAUACAGGGAGCUUGGGAUAUUAUUUUGCUGUUAAAAGUAACUGAGUAUCCCUGGCAACUGAGUGUCCGAGUCUCCGGGUCUUACUGGCCAAAUACAGAAAGCCUUUGCACCUGUUACACUCUCUGUAAAAACUCUGGAGUAUUCUACUGGUCAGUAUGAGCUGUACGGAGAAUCACAUCGUAUGUUAUUUAACACACAGUCAUUUGGCCUAUGAGUGAAAACAGCGAGUGGUUCUUGCACAGACCUUCCCAAAGCAUUUCUUUCACAUUUCAGUCUGGCAACAAUUACCCUCGGUGAUGAAACAAAAGCUCGAGCCAAGAUCGCCAGACGCACACAUGCUGGCCAUUCCCACAGGCCAGCAAGAGAAAGUUUCUCUGGAGCCUACGCAGUCUUAGGAUCGCAUUGACACAAAGAUUUACACCAAGUGAUAAUUUUCAAACUGUAAUGGGUGUGGCUAGCCCUUUUUUUAUUUUAUGACAUCAUUCAUAUAAAAUUCGACAAAAUGAAAUGCUUGUUGUUUGUAAUGGCUUUAUACUAAUCCUAAUUUAUUGCUUUUUUUUAAAAAAUAUUCUAUAUUCUAUAACUUUUCCAUGAAGAUAUCAGUAUGGAAUUAUUCUUCUAUCCUCUUGUACAGCAUUACAUUCUAGAAUUCACAGUUUCAACUGCCAAAAAAAACACUAUUUUUGUUUGUUUUCUGUGCUUUCAUGAGCUUUUGUCUUUACAUUACAAACCUAUUUCAGAUACCUCUACACCCUAUACAUCAUAAACGUUCAUUUCUCCCUAUCAGAAUCCUCUACUCAGCAUUAAAUAUAACACUAAUUGCAGUCAUUAUUUCAAUUAUAUAAUACAAUACAAGUUUUCCAGACACCUUUUGCUUUUGUUUUGAAGUUGUAAAACUCCGGAGCUUGUUCCGCGUUGGGUGACGUAUUUAAGGCGCUCGGAUUAUUGGCAGAAAAAGGGCAGGUGAAAACUGCACCUAAGUAAAUUUGCAUCUUACAGGUAGUACUGUUUAUGACUACAGAACAAAAGACGUAACUGCUUUUUAAAGCCUUGUUAAUGCUAAGAAUAUUUGAGCUGCUUGCCGCUCUGUAAUUAGCAUAGUUUCUUCAUUAAGUGUAACCUGAAUACUCUAUCUAUCUAGCUAUCUAUCUAUCUAUCGAUCUAUCUAUCUAUCUAUCGAACUCUCUAAUGCUGUGGAUGAACCCAUAACAAUGCAUUCACGUUCAGGCGCCCUAGAUCUCUAGUACCCUAGAUAGAAGACUGCAGCUAGCUCUAGCACUCGAGGCCAUAUUAGUCAAGCUCGUCAUACUGAGAGCACCUACCUUCAUCUUCCAGCCUACUUUCUGUCCGCAUGCCAAAACAUGAGUGAAAGAUUGCAAAUCCUGUUGUAAACACUGUGGUUUUCUUGUAAUAGUAAAUGUAAAGACGGCAAAAGAAAGCAGCAACUUUGUAAAUGUAAGGAAUUCCGUUUUAUUUGUUUAUUAUUCAUUUAACAAUGGACAUUGUCUCAAGGCAGCUUUAGAGAACAUGAGAAAUAUGGAAGUUCAAGAUUCGUAUUAGACUUAUAUUUCAAUUUAGUUGUAUUUAUCCCUAGUGAGCAAGCCUGAGGUGACGGUGGUAAAGAAAAACCCCAUUAGAUGGAGGAGGAAGAAACUUUGAGAGGUGAGAAUGUGCCAAACAGAAACAAAGUGCACCAGUAACCUGUUCUGCCUUCGCACUGGGAGGUUUCAACCAAACCCAUGCACGAUGGAGUGAGGGAGUGAUAGUGUGCUGGGAAGGAAUGACCCAUGACAUGCUGCUGAAAUGAGCUCAUAAAGCAGAGCUCACACUUUCUUGGUCUUUUCUCAGUUUACACACACCCUCACUCACCCACUUUUGUACACACAUACGUUCAGGAGCAGACGCCAGCAAGUCUAGGCGCUGAUCAGCGGUAUUGUUAUUAACAGUCUCCCUUGCAUGUAUUAAGGCACGGUGAGGACACAUCCCAGCCUUAUGACCUCAGGGUGCCGCUUUGUUCUUUCCAUAACACAAAAGUAAUUACAGCAUCUACCUUUCCUUUUUUCACCCUGUCCCUUCUGCCCCACACCUCGGACUGCACCCCACUAUGUUAUGAUUGCUAUGUACAGGGAUCUACCCUGGAAAAAUACCUGAGAAUCUUUUCAAAUUUGCAUAUCCGACUUUGCUUUGAUGUUUUGUUUUUUGGCACCAUAAAACUGUUGAUAAUAUAGCACAUGAUUUACAAACUGAAAUAGAAACAUCUUCCCUUGCAUUCAUUGCAUGGAAAUUCUUGUUGUUGUUGUUAUUAUUAUUAUUAUCUGGAAAUUUGAUUCCCUUUUAAUUUUUUAUCUUGAAAAGAAGCAGAAGAGUCAAAUAAUAACUCUCAGUUGUAAUCUGUUUUGUUUUGAUUUAUGGAAUAAUUUGUUUCUGUCAUGAAUGAUGACUUGUCUGGUAUUGUCUGAGUGUCUUUAUUGACAGGGAAAUGUUCUGCAUCCUGUGUUAAUGUGCUGCAGAAACAUCUUAUAUGGACAGAGCUAAAGAGAUCAUGUGGAGGAUUUCUAUUCUAGAGAUUUGGUGCUUCAUCCUGAACAUGAAGUUUUGUUAUAUAAUUGAUAAGACCGCAUACCACUGCUUACACUGAGAAAGCAGCACUCAAUGACAGCUCUACAGUUAGGAGGAGAGCCUUCUGGUGAAACAUUUCAGAAGGAAAGUUUAAAGACACUGUUCAAUAAAACUAGUCUGUCAUUUUAUUAAUAAAGC